GCUCGUAUGGCGCAGUGGUAACGCAUUUGACUUGUAAUCAAAAGAUCCCAUGUUCAAUCCAUGGUGCGAGCU